rnacentral:rRNA from 1 species
UACGUAGGGGGCAAGCGUUGUCCGGAAUUAUUGGGCGUAAAGAGCUUGUAGGCGGUUUGUCGCGUCUGCUGUGAAAUUUCGGGGCUCAACCCCGAACUUGCAGUGGGUACGGGCAGGCUAGAGUGUGGUAGGGGAGACUGGAAUUCCUGGUGUAGCGGUGAAAUGCGCAGAUAUCAGGAGGAACACCGAUGGUGAAGGCAGGUCUCUGGGCCACUACUGACGCUGAGAAGCGAAAGCAUGGGGAGCGAACAGG